rnacentral:tRNA from 1 species
GCCACCUUAGCUCAAUCGGUAGAGCAGCCGCAUCGUAAGUGGCCGGUUUGGGGUUCAAGUCCCUAAGGUGGCU